GACGAACGCUGGCGGCGUGCCUAAUACAUGCAAGUUGAGCGCUGAAGGUUGGUACUUGUACCAACUGGAUGAGCAGCGAACGGGUGAGUAACGCGUGGGGAAUCUGCCUUUGAGCGGGGGACAACAUUUGGAAACGAAUGCUAAUACCGCAUAAAAACUUUAAACACAAGUUUUAAGUUUGAAAGAUGCAAUUGCCUCACUCAAAGAUGAUCCCGCGUUGUAUUAGCUAGUUGGUGAGGUAAAGGCUCACCAAGGCGAUGAUACAUAGCCGACCUGAGAGGGUGAUCGGCCACAUUGGGACUGAGACACGGCCCAAACUCCUACGGGAGGCAGCAGUAGGGAAUCUUCGGCAAUGGACGAAAGUCUGACCGAGCAACGCCGCGUGAGUGAAGAAGGGUUUCGGAUCGUAAAACUCUGUUGGUAGAGAAGAACGUUGGUGAGAGUGGAAAGCUCAUCAAGUGACGGUAACUACACAGAAAGGGACGGCUAACUACGUG
rnacentral:rRNA from 1 species